GAUGAAUGCUGGCGGCGUGCCUAACACAUGCAAGUCGAGCGGCAGCGAGGGGUGCUUGCACCCUGUCGGCGAGCGGCGAACGGCUGAGUAACGCGUAGGAAUUUGCCCCAAAGUGAGGAAUAACUGCCCGAAAGGGUAGCUAAUGCCGCAUAGGGUCUUCGGAUUAAAGGAUUUAUCCGCUUUGGGAGAAGCCUGCGUUGGAUUAGGUUGUUGGUAGGGUAAUGGCCUACCAAGCCGACGAUCCAUAGCUGGUCUGAGAGGAUGAUCAGCCAGACUGGAACUGAGACACGGUCCAGACUCCUACGGGAAGCAGCAGUGAGGAAUCUUCCACAAUGGGCGAAAGCCUGAUGGAGCAACGCCGCGUGAAGGAUGAAGGCCUUCGGGUUGUAAACUUCUUUUAUGAGUGAAGAAUAUGACGGUAACUCAUGAAUAAGCACCGGCUAACUACGUG
rnacentral:rRNA from 1 species